UGUGUCAUCUUCCAUGCUGGCUUGAUGACAAAAAUCUGAGAAUUUGAUUCUCAGAUUUGGACUGCUGGAACUCUCUGCUGCCCCGGACUGUGUCUCUGUCCAGGACUAAGAGAAGCCAAGCUCUGUUAGAAGGGACUGAGCUGGAAAACCUCAAGCUGAAUCAGCUAGCAAGUCUGAGAGCCAGCAGCUGGAGUGGGACCGUAGACAGUCAGUGCUGUGGAUCCACCCAGAGCACAGAACCCUGGACAAGCUUUUGCGAGGUGUUUGGGUGAAUAAAGCGCUGGGGGGGAAUUUUGCAGGUGAAUAACUUUUGUUGUAAUAUGAAGGAAAUGGAGAAAAACACAUCCUCCAGGAUCUCAUUGAAUUGGUGUCUGAAUGCUCAGGCAGUACAAAGGGCACUGGAAACAAUUACUGAAAUGUGCUUAUACAAGGCAGAGCAGAGCUCAGGAGACUUCCCACAGCAUCUCAUUGUCUGAUUAAAGCCCCUGAUGGAUUUACAGCGGACCCUGUUUUAACAGAUAAGAUAAAUCUACUGUUGUCCUUAUUCCUCAUUAUUAAAACCAAUAUCCUAAUUAUUUCUGGCAGGUUAUUUCUAAGGUAUUACUUUGGCUCUCCUAAAUUGAAGGUUUAUAUCCUUGCUGAUUUUUUUUUUUCCUUGGGACUUCUUGUCCUGCUUUGUGCUAAGGGACUCUGGAAUAUGCAGUGGUGUGCUGGGCUGAGUGAGCAGAUACUGAAAUACUUUGGCAGAAUCUGUGCUUCUGGUGCCAUGCAGAACUUGAAGAUGGACAGAGAAAUUCCCUGUGUUUAAUGAGACUCCAUCACCUUUU